rnacentral:lncRNA from 1 species
CCCACUUUAGAUCUCACUUCUUCUCAAACCACUCUUCCACUCUACUUAUACUUUCUUCAAUUUGCAGCUAAGCUAAAAUGAGGCUCUUCUUUGCUACUCUGCUUCUUUGCGCACUCCUCCUAAGCUCAUCUUUCUUGGAACCUGUCAUAGCCAAGUCCUGUAAGUGCUUUAACAAAUUGGGAAUUCUAGUUAAAAAAAAAGUGCAUCAAAAUUUGUAGUGAAACACUAGAAUUUCGCUGCAAAUAUCAAACAUCGUACUGUGGAAUAGGAUGUAGUGAAACACUAGAAUUUUUUAUUCAACAAAAGGAUCAAGUUCUUUUAGUGAAGACUGGCUUCUCGUUUCUUUUAUAGAUGGCUAUUAGCUCGAGUUUUCUUCAUUUCCUUUCUCAUUUUGGU